rnacentral:rRNA from 1 species
CGGACCAAGGAGUUCAAAUGGCACGCGAGUCUUUGGGUGUAAACAUCCAACGGCGAAGUGAAAUGCGAGUGUAUUGUUAUUUGUGAUAUUCACGAAGAAAUGAUAAGCUACUGAUGCUAUCAGGCAUUUGUAGACUACAAGCGUGUCGUUUGAGACCCGAAAGAUGGUGAUCUAUGCCUAGUCAAGAUGAAGCCAGAGGAAACUCUGGUGGAUGUCUGAAGUUUUUCUGACGUGCAAAUCGAUAAUCUGAUCUGGGUAUAGGGGCGAAAGACUAAUCGAACCAUCUAGUAGCUGGUUCCUUCCGAAGUUUCCCUCAGGAUAGCAAGCGUACAACGGUAGUUUCAUCCAGUAAAGCGAAUGAUUAGAGGUAUUGGGGCAUAUGUAGCCUCAACCUAUUCUCAAACUUUUAAUGGGUGUGAGUUCUCUUUCUUAAUUGAAGAGCUACUAAUAAAUAAGUAUGCUUAGUGGGCCAUUUUUGGUAAGCAGAACUGGCGCUGUGGGUUGAACCAAAUGUUGAGUUAAAGUGCCUAAAGCUGAAAUGCGUAUGAGAUCUAUAAAGGGUGUUAGUUGCUGAAGACAGCAGGACGGUGGCCAUGGAAGUCGGA